rnacentral:rRNA from 1 species
GGCUCAGGAUGAACGCUGGCGGCGUGCUUAACACAUGCAAGUCGAACGAAGAUGCCGGAGUGCUUGCACUUUGGCAGACUGAGUGGCGGACGGGUGAGUAACGCGUGGGUAACCUGCCUUAUACAGGGGGAUAACAGUUGGAAACGACUGCUAAUACCGCAUAAGCGCACGGUAUCGCAUGAUACAGUGUGAAAAACUCCGGUGGUAUAAGAUGGACCCGCGUCUGAUUAGCUUGUUGGUGAGAUAACAGCCCACCAAGGCGACGAUCAGUAGCCGACCUGAGAGGGUGACCGGCCACAUUGGGACUGAGACACGGCCCGGACUCCUACGGGAGGCAGCAGUGGGGAAUAUUGCACAAUGGAGGAAACCCUGAUGCAGCGACGCCGCGUGAGUGAUGAAGUAUUUCGGUAUGUAAAACUCUAUCAGCAGGGAAGAUAAUGACGGUACCUGACUAAGAAGCACCGGCUAAAUACGUG